rnacentral:rRNA from 1 species
AGAGCGAACGCUGGCGGCAGGCCUAACACAUGCAAGUCGAGCGGCCGUAGCAAUACGGCAGCGGCAGACGGGAGAGUAACACGUGGGAACGCGCCCUUCGGUUCGGAAUAACUCAGGGAAACUUGGGCUAAUACCGGAUACGCCCUUACGGGGAAAGAUUUAUUGCCGAAGGAACGGCCCGCGUCCGAUUAGCUUGUUGGUGAGGUAACGGCUCACCAAGGCGACGAUCGGUAGCUGGUCUGAGAGGAUGACCAGCCUCACUGGGACUGAGACACGGCCCAGACUUCUACGGGAGGCAGCAGUGGGGAAUAUUGGACAAUGGGCGCAAGCCUGAUCCAGCCAUGCCGCGUGGGUGAUGAAGGCCCUAGGGUUGUAAAGCCCUUUCGGCGGGGAAGAUAAUGACGGUACCCGCAGAAGAAGCCCGGCUAACUUCGUGCCAGCAGCCGC